CAUUAAUGGAAUACUAUGCCUUGUCACGCUAUGGUCAUGACAGUCAGUGGUGGAGACAUUAUGACUGCAGGCCGCCAACUGUCUUGAAAUCUGGUUCAUUUUCAUCUAAUUCCACCUACUCGUGAUAUCGAUAAGUAACUGAUUACGAAGCACCAGGUGGCACAUGAAUCUCUGACGUACGAUUUGUAUUGUUAUCUGAGGUUGGGUGUGGAAUUGUAUCACCCCUGUAAUCUUCACUUGGUUGGAAUUACGACUGGCGUUUUUACCGGUAUAAUCCUUUCGUUCUGGUAGUACUCAGGCAGGGUAAUUCUGUGAUGGCUGGCAGAAUAGCUGGGAAGAGAGCUUACUGGCUGGCGCUGUUAGUACUUAAUCUUACAUUUUGUUAUAAUAAUGGUCAAGGAAAAUGCGGAGACACGAUGUUGAUAGAGAGGACUGAUGAAAACGGCACCGUUUAUAGAUACCAGAUGUCUU